GAGUUUUGAUCAUGGCUCAGGAUGAACGCUGGCGGCGUGCCUAACACAUGCAAGUCGAACGAAGCUUGACGGAUGAUUUCUUCGGAAUGAAACCAGAUAUGACUUAGUGGCGGACGGGUGAGUAACACGUGAGCAACCUGCCUUUCAGAGGGGGAUAACGGCUGGAAACGGUCGCUAAUACCGCAUGAUGUGUUCGGAUGGCAUCAUCUGAACAUCAAAGAUUUAUCG
rnacentral:rRNA from 1 species